GAUAAACGCUGGCGGCGCACAUAAGACAUGCAAGUCGAACGGACUUAACUCAUUCUUUUAGAUUGAGAGCGGUUAGUGGCGGACUGGUGAGUAACACGUAAGCAACCUGCCUAUUAGAGGGGAAUAACAGUGAGAAAUCAUUGCUAAUACCGCAUAUGCUAACAGUAUCGCAUGAUACAGUUAGGAAAGGAGUAAUCCGCUAAUAGAUGGGCUUGCGUCUGAUUAGAUAGUUGGUGGGGUAACGGCCUACCAAGUCGACGAUCAGUAGCCGGACUGAGAGGUUGAACGGCCACAUUGGGACUGAGAUACGGCCCAGACUCCUACGGGAGGCAGCAGUGGGGGAAUAUUGGGCAAUGGGGGAAACCCUGACCCAGCAACGCCGCGUGAAGGAAGAAGGCCUUCGGGUUGGUAAACUUCUUUUACCUAGGGUACGAAGAACGU
rnacentral:rRNA from 1 species